AAUCAACGCUGGCGGCGUGCCUAACACAUGCAAGUCGAACGCGAAAGCCCUUUCGGGGGUAAGUAGAGUGGCGUCCGGGUGAGUAACACGUAGGUAAUCUGCCUUCGGGUGGGGAAUAACCAGUCGAAAGAUUGGCUAAUACCGCAUAAUGCAGCGGCACCUAAUGGUGAUUAGUUGUUAAAGCGGGGGAUCGUAAGACCUCGCGCCUGAAGAGGAGCCUGCGGCAGAUUAGCUAGNGGUGAGGUAAUGGCUCACCAAGGCUUCGAUCUGUAGCUGGUCUGAGAGGACGGCCAGCUACACUGGCACUGACACACGGGCCAGACUCCUACGGAGGCAGCAGUGGGGAAUUUUGGGCAAUGGGCG
rnacentral:rRNA from 1 species